AUACAACUCGUAUCCAUAGAGCAUGGCCGAGGACUCCCUCAAUCUAUCCAUCUAUGGCUGCCUCGCUUUCUCUCUCCAACUUCCUUUCCUUCCUCUUGCCUUCAAACCCACCUCCCAAAACCUCACCCCAACUCUCCUUCUCUUCUCCACCAACUCAAUUAUUAUCGCGAAAGUCUAAUGAUAAGUUGAUUCCACUGGUGGGCCAACAAAGUCAUUCUGGUUCUUUAUCCGCUGACUUGUCCUCGGUUAUCUGUCCGUCUCUUGCAUAUGCGAAUACCCUUUUCUUCAAAUCGGCUUACAAUGUGCAGGUGAUCGUCGAUGAGAACGAGCCUGAAGAGAGGCUGUUGAAUAGGUUCAGGAGGGAGGUUUUGAGGGCUGGUGUCAUUCAAGAGUGUAAGAGGAGGAGGUUCUUUGAGAACAAGCAAGACGAGAAGAAACGCAAGUCCCGUGAGGCAGCUAAGCGUAAUAAGAAAAGGCGCUUCCAAUCGAGACCCACAACCCAAAACAAGCUCGAAACAUCCACAAGUAAGAAGGAGGAGGAUGAUGAAGAUAACUGGGACAUGCCUGAAGGAGGCCUUCCUUAUUAAAUAUUUUACCUUGCCUAUUGACUGUAGCAUUUUCACAUUUGACUGUUCUGAAUCAUUUCUUGGCAACUAUCUUCCUCUGAAACAGAGAAACAAGCAACACCUUGAAUAUACAGGAGGCAAAAGAACAGGGAAAGAGUGCUGAAGAGGCAUUUCAGCCUCGUAGUAAGAGAACAUUAGAGGGGCAAACGAUUUUCUUGUUGUAUAGAGAGUACAGGGACAAUCAUCUCUGAGAAGGAUUAGGCCUUUAUAUUCUGUAAUGUUGAUGGGUGUUUCAAUAUAAAAUAAAGCAAUAUGUAGGGUCAAAAGUUCAAGGCAAGUGGACUGUAAAGGGUAGCUUGGGUUUAGAAGGCAGAGAUUGGGCCGUAUACAUGAAUGAGAAAAGGCAAUUGCCUCGUAGACUAUGUGCUCAGUUCUGCACACGGUUCUGGUCAUUAGGAAUGGAAAUAGGCAGGGUAUACGUGAAA